AAAUUGUUGCUAAGAUAAGCACAUCUAAUAACUCUUGGUGGUGUGCAGGUGUGGCUGCUGUAUCAGCUUCCAGGACCUCGAGGAUUUCCGGUGCUGGGUAACGCACUGUACCUCAAUGUGGAUCCUCCAGAACUGUUCCAGAGACUUCUGAAAGUGGCUGAGAGUGGGGAAGUUGCCAGGUUCUGGACCAUGUACACUCCUUACUGUUUAAUUAGCAGUGCCACAGCUGUGGAGACGAAUCUCCAGCUAGCGUGGCCGUGACGAACUCUAGCUCAAGUACCUUCACUGCCGUCAACAUGACUCAAGAAAUCGUAAUGACACGAUUGCAAACACCUAGUUGGAUGAAUCUUAUUGUGGCUAGCUGGUCUAGUGGCUAACGCGACGGGCUGGAGUUUUGAGACUCUCUGACCGCGGGUUCAAUCCCGGCCGGGGGUAUGGUUUUUUUUCAUCACAUUAAUAAAUAAGCAGAUAAAUUCA